CCACUCGUUCCCAUCCCGAACACGACCGUUAAGCCCUCCAGCGCCGAUGGUACUUGGGGUGCAGACCCCUGGGAGAGUAGGACGUUGCCAGGC
rnacentral:rRNA from 1 species